rnacentral:rRNA from 1 species
CCUACGGGAGGCAGCAGUGGGGGAUAUUGCACAAUGGGGGAAACCCUGAUGCAGCGACGCCGCGUGAGUGAAGAAGUAUUUCGGUAUGUAAAGCUCUAUCAGCAGGGAAGAAAAUGACAGUACCUGACCAAGAAGCCCCGGCUAACUACGUGCCAGCAGCCGCGGUAAUACGUAGGGGGCACGCGUUAUCCGGAUUUACUGGGUGUAAAGGGAGCGUAGACGGUUAUGUAAGUCUGGAGUGAAAGCCCGGGGCUUAACCCCGGAACUGCUUUGGAAACUGUGCAGCUAGAGUGCAGGAGAGGUAAGUGGAAUUCCUAGUGUAGCGGUGAAAUGCGUAGAUAUUAGGAGGAACACCAGUGGCGAAGGCGGCUUACUGGACUGUAACUGACGUUGAGGCUCGAAAGCGUGGGGAGCAAACAGGAUUAGAUACCCUAGUAGUC